rnacentral:rRNA from 1 species
UCUAAAGCCAUGGCGAGUCGAGAGGUGCAAGACCUCGGCGCACUGCUCAGUAACACGUGGACAACCUACCCUGUGGAGGGGGAUAACCCCGGAAAACUGGGGAUAAUACCCCAUAGGUUAGGGAGGCUGGAAUGCCCCCUAGCUCAAAGGUCCGCCGCCACAGGAUGGGUCUGCGGCCGAUUAGGUUGUUGUUGGGGUAACGGCCCAACAAGCCUUUGAUCGGUACGGGUUGUGGGAGCAAGAGCCCGGAGAUGGAUUCUGAGACACGAAUCCAGGCCCUACGGGGCGCAGCAGGCGCGAAAACUUUACAAUGCGAGAAAUCGUGAUAAGGGAACCCCGAGUGCCCGUAAAUUCGGGCUGUCCGCCAGUGCAAAAAACUGGUGAAGAAAGAGCCGGGCAAGACCGGUGCCAGCCGCCGCGGUAAUACCGGCGGCUCGAGUGGUGGCCACUAUUACUGGGCUUAAAGCGUCCGUAGCUUGGUUGUUAAGUCUCCUGGGAAAUCCAUCGGCUCAACCGAUGGGCGUUCAGGAGAUACUGGCAACCUAGGGACCGGGAGAGGUGAGAGGUACUCCAGGGGUAGGAGUGAAAUCCUGUAAUCCUUGGGGGACCACCUGUGGCGAAGGCGUCUCACUAGAACGGCUCCGACAGUGAGGGACGAAAGCUGGGGGAGCAAACCGGAUUAGAUACCCGGGUAGUCCCAGCUGUAAACGAUGCGCGUUAGGUGUAUCGGUGACCACGAGUCACCGAGGUGCCGAAGAGAAAUCGUGAAACGUGCCGCCUGGGAAGUACGGUCGCAAGGCUGAAACUUAAAGGAAUUGGCGGGGGAGCACCACAACAGGUGGAGCCUGCGGUUUAAUCGGACUCAACGCCGGGAAGCUCACCGGAUAAGACAGCUGAAUGAUAGCCGGGUUGAAGACUCUGCUUGACUAGCUGAGAGGAGGUGCAUGGCCGUCGUCAGUCGUACUGAGAUCC